rnacentral:rRNA from 1 species
GAUGAACGCUGGCGGCGUGCCUAAUACAUGCAAGUCGAGCGAAUAGACGAGGAGCUUGCUCCUCUGACGUUAGCGGCGGACGGGUGAGUAACACGUGGAUAACCUACCUAUAAGACUGGGAUAACUUCGGGAAACCGGAGCUAAUACCGGAUAAUAUAUUGAACCGCAUGGUUCAAUAGUGAAAGACGGUUUUGCUGUCACUUAUAGAUGGAUCCGCGCCGCAUUAGCUAGUUGGUAAGGUAACGGCUUACCAAGGCAACGAUGCGUAGCCGACCUGAGAGGGUGAUCGGCCACACUGGAACUGAGACACGGUCCAGACUCCUACGGGAGGCAGCAGUAGGGAAUCUUCCGCAAUGGGCGAAAGCCUGACGGAGCAACGCCGCGUGAGUGAUGAAGGUCUUCGGAUCGUAAAACUCUUUUAUUAGGGAAGAACAAAUGUGUAAGUGACUAUGCACGUCUUGACGGUACCUAAUCAGAAAGCCACGGCUAACUACGUG